rnacentral:lncRNA from 8 species
AUGGACUGGAAUGGUUUGAGAUGCCUCUCUCUGAUUUCAGACUCUCUCUCCCUCUGUUCCCUCUCUCUCUCUCUGUUCUUUCUCUCUCUCUGUAUCCUCUCUCUCUCUGUUCUUUCUCUCUCUCUGUUCUUUCUCUCUCUCUGUUCUUUCUCUCUCUCUCUGUUCCCUCUCUCUCUCUGUAUCCUCUCUCUCUCUGUUCUUUCUCUCUCUCUGUAUCCUCUCUCUCUCUGUUCUUUCUCUCUCUCUCUCUGUUCUUUCUCUCUGUAUCCUCUCUCUCUCUGUUCUUUCUCUCUCUCUGUUCUUUCUCUCUCUGUAUCCUCUCUCUCUCUGUAUCCUCUCUCUCUCUGUUCUUUCUCUCUCUGUAUCCUCUCUCUCUCUGUUCUUUCUCUCUCUCUGUUCUUUCUCUCUCUGUAUCCUCUCUCUCUCUGUUCUUUCUCUCUCUGUAUCCUCUCUCUCUGUUCUUUCUCUCUCUCUCUCUGUAUCUUCUCUCUCUCUGUUCUUUCUCUCUCUCCCUCUGUAUCCUCUCUCUCUCUGUUCUUUCUCUCUCUCUGUUCUGUAUCUUCUCUCUCUCUCUGUAUCUUCUCUCUCUCUCUGUAUCCUCUCUCUCUCUCUGUAUCCUCUCUCUCUCUGUUCUUUCUCUCUCUCCCUCUGUAUCCUCUCUCUCUCUGUUCUUUCUCUCUCUCUGUUCUGUAUCUUCUCUCUCUGUUCUUUCUCUCUCUCUCUCUGUAUCCUCUCUCUCUCUGUAUCCUCUCUCUCUCUGUUCUUUCUUUCUCUCUCUCUGUAUCCUCUCUCUCUCUGUUCUUUCUCUCUCUCCCUCUGUAUCCUCUCUCUCUCUGUUCUUUCUCUCUCUCUGUUCUGUAUCUUCUCUCUCUCUCUGUAUCUUCUCUCUCUCUCUGUAUCCUCUCUCCCUCUGUAUCCUCUCUCUCUCUGUUCUUUCUCUCUCUCCCUCUGUAUCCUCUCUCUCUGUAUCCUCUCUCUCUGUAUCCUCUCUCUCUCUGGAGCAGUUGUGUAACUGGUCUGUCAACAGUUGACUUCCACUAG